AUACUGGAUUAUUGUUGUUGAUGGUGGUUAGAUCCAAUGACUAAUUGUGGUCCCAGACAAAAGUGGGUCCCAUCCAUAUGCAAUAUACAACCACAAAAUUCAAUGAUUUGACACUUAUCGUUAUGUACUAAAGAGUCCUCAUUUUUGUUUGUACAGUUGAAACAAUCUUAAUUAUGUGGGGAGUGGAAAUGGCUCCCCAAUAAUUAUUUUCCACCAACCGAAAAUGAAUUAUCACAAUCAACCUUAACUUUAUUGAUUAACUUAUACAGUAUUAAAAUUCAGCAAAUUUUGUCCAAUUAAUUAUGUGAAUAGAUAAAAAUAAUAAAGAGACCAACGAGGGUCUUCUUUGUCCUUAACAAGAGUAUAUCGAGUUCGAGUCUUGGAUAUAAAGUCGUCCUCAUUAGAAAGCGUUUUACUACUAAUAUAAAAUUUUAGGACGCAAAUCCAAAUUUAGUCGGGCCCAAAUAUGGAUAUCGGACACAGUAUUGGGGAACCAACAACAACAACAAAAAACCAGUAAUUUCUCACAAGUGGAGUCUGGAAAAGGUAAGAUGUAUGCAAUCUUACCCCAACAGUGAAAAAGAUAAGGUAAUUGCAACAAAUAACAUGAUGAAAUAAGAUCGAAUCCAAGAAUAUAAUAUGGGAAACCAAAUAUUAAAAAGAACACACAAAAAAGACAACAAAA
rnacentral:lncRNA from 1 species